CCUACGGGAGGCAGCAGUGGGGAAUAUUGCACAAUGGGCGAAAGCCUGAUGCAGCAACGCCGCGUGAGCGAUGAAGGCCUUCGGGUCGUAAAGCUCUGUCCUCAAGGAAGAUAAUGACGGUACUUGAGGAGGCAGCCCCGGCUAACUACGUGCCAGCAGCCGCGGUAAUACGUAGGGGGCUAGCGUUAUCCGGAGGUACUGGGCGUAAAGGGUGCGUAGGUGGUUUGUUAAGUCAGAGGUGAAAGGCUAGGGCUCAACCGUAGUAAGCCUUUGAAACUGGGGAACUUGAGUGCAGGAGAGGAGAGUGGAAUUCCUAGUGUAGCGGUGAAAUGCGUAGAUAUUAGGAGGAACACCAGUUGCGAAGGCGGCUCUCUGGACUGUAACUGACACUGAGGCACGAAAGCGUGGGGAGCAAACAGGAUUAGAUACCCUGGUAGUC
rnacentral:rRNA from 1 species